UGCUCGCGCAUCGAACUACAAACCACCUGUCCUUCUCAGUUGCUUCACGAGCAAUGAUAUGCUCGCUGACUAGAUCCGGGGCUUGUGUUGCGUACCUAACAGAAGGAAUUGUUGAGUUUGGCUUACAACGUUGUUCGUGGCUUCUCCUUUGCCGGGGAAGCCGCGAUCACAAAAGCCGGCGCUUGUGAUCCUUGCUCCUUGGCAUCAAAUGCCUUGCUUGCACAGGCGAAUAAGCCGUCGGCCGAAAUUUCGGAUGCGGAACGGUUAUGGAUGGUGACUCGAAGCAAUUCAGUCCCACCAAAUCACACUGACCCAAAAGAUGACGGCCAAGUCCCCGUCCGUUCUCUCUUACCUAGCGUUUGAGAGAAUCAGGCGGGGGCUUGCCCUGAUUUAGAGAUGCUACCAGGU
rnacentral:misc_RNA from 1 species